UUCGACACACUAUCAUUAACUGAAUCCAUAGGUUAAUGAGGCGAACCGGGGGAACUGAAACAUCUAAGUACCCCGAGGAAAAGAAAUCAACCGAGAUUCCCCCAGUAGCGGCGAGCGAACGGGGAGGAGCCCAGAGCCUGAAUCAGUGUGUGUGUUAGUGGAAGCGUCUGGAAAGGCGCGCGAUACAGGGUGACAGCCCCGUACACAAAAAUGCACAUACUGUGAGCUCGAUGAGUAGGGCGGGACACGUGGUAUCCUGUCUGAAUAUGGGGGGACCAUCCUCCAAGGCUAAAUACUCCUGACUGACCGAUAGUGAACCAGUACCGUGAGGGAAAGGCGAAAAGAACCCCGGCGAGGGGAGUGAAAAAGAACCUGAAACCGUGUACGUACAAGCAGUGGGAGCCUCUUUUAUGGGGUGACUGCGUACCUUUUGUAUAAUGGGUCAGCGACUUAUAUUCUGUAGCAAGGUUAACCGAAUAGGGGAGCCGAAGGGAAACCGAGUCUUAACUGGGCGUUAAGUUGCAGGGUAUAGACCCGAAACCCGGUGAUCUAGCCAUGGGCAGGUUGAAGGUUGGGUAACACUAACUGGAGGACCGAACCGACUAAUGUUGAAAAAUUAGCGGAUGACUUGUGGCUGGGGGUGAAAGGCCAAUCAAACCGGGAGAUAGCUGGUUCUCCCCGAAAGCUAUUUAGGUAGCGCCUCGUGAAUUCAUCUCCGGGGGUAGAGCACUGUUUCGGCAAGGGGGUCAUCCCGACUUACCAACCCGAUGCAAACUGCGAAUACCGGAGAAUGUUAUCACGGGAGACACACGGCGGGUGCUAACGUCCGUCGUGAAGAGGGAAACAACCCAGACCGCCAGCUAAGGUCCCAAAGUCAUGGUUAAGUGGGAAACGAUGUGGGAAGGCCCAGACAGCCAGGAUGUUGGCUUAGAAGCAGCCAUCAUUUAAAGAAAGCGUAAUAGCUCACUGGUCGAGUCGGCCUGCGCGGAAGAUGUAACGGGGCUAAACCAUGCACCGAAGCUGCGGCAGCGACGCUUAUGCGUUGUUGGGUAGGGGAGCGUUCUGUAAGCCUGUGAAGGUGUACUGUGAGGUAUGCUGGAGGUAUCAGAAGUGCGAAUGCUGACAUAAGUAACGAUAAAGCGGGUGAAAAGCCCGCUCGCCGGAAGACCAAGGGUUCCUGUCCAACGUUAAUCGGGGCAGGGUGAGUCGACCCCUAAGGCGAGGCCGAAAGGCGUAGUCGAUGGGAAACAGGUUAAUAUUCCUGUACUUGGUGUUACUGCGAAGGGGGGACGGAGAAGGCUAUGUUGGCCGGGCGACGGUUGUCCCGGUUUAAGCGUGUAGGCUGGUUUUCCAGGCAAAUCCGGAAAAUCAAGGCUGAGGCGUGAUGACGAGGCACUACGGUGCUGAAGCAACAAAUGCCCUGCUUCCAGGAAAAGCCUCUAAGCAUCAGGUAACAUCAAAUCGUACCCCAAACCGACACAGGUGGUCAGGUAGAGAAUACCAAGGCGCUUGAGAGAACUCGGGUGAAGGAACUAGGCAAAAUGGUGCCGUAACUUCGGGAGAAGGCACGCUGAUAUGUAGGUGAAGCGACUUGCUCGUGGAGCUGAAAUCAGUCGAAGAUACCAGCUGGCUGCAACUGUUUAUUAAAAACACAGCACUGUGCAAACACGAAAGUGGACGUAUACGGUGUGACGCCUGCCCGGUGCCGGAAGGUUAAUUGAUGGGGUUAGCGGUAACGCGAAGCUCUUGAUCGAAGCCCCGGUAAACGGCGGCCGUAACUAUAACGGUCCUAAGGUAGCGAAAUUCCUUGUCGGGUAAGUUCCGACCUGCACGAAUGGCGUAAUGAUGGCCAGGCUGUCUCCACCCGAGACUCAGUGAAAUUGAACUCGCUGUGAAGAUGCAGUGUACCCGCGGCAAGACGGAAAGACCCCGUGAACCUUUACUAUAGCUUGACACUGAACAUUGAGCCUUGAUGUGUAGGAUAGGUGGGAGGCUUUGAAGUGUGG
rnacentral:rRNA from 1 species